rnacentral:rRNA from 1 species
AGCAUAUCAAUAAGCGGAGGAAAAGAAACCAACAGGGAUUGCCCUAGUAACGGCGAGUGAAGCGGCAACAGCUCAAAUUUGAAAUCUGGCGCAAGCCCGAGUUGUAAUUUGUAGAGGAUGCUUCUGGGCAGCGGCCGGUCUAAGUUCCUUGGAACAGGACGUCAUAGAGGGUGAGAAUCCCGUAUGUGACCGGUUGGCACCCUCCACGUAGCUCCUUCGACGAGUCGAGUUGUUUGGGAAUGCAGCUCUAAAUGGGAGGUAAAUUUCUUCUAAAGCUAAAUACCGGCCAGAGACCGAUAGCGCACAAGUAGAGUGAUCGAAAGAUGAAAAGCACUUUGGAAAGAGAGUUAAAAAGCACGUGAAAUUGUUGAAAGGGAAGCGCUUGCAACCAGACUUGUCGGCGGUGUUCCGCCGGUCUUCUGACCGGUCUACUCGCCGCCGCCAGGCCAGCAUCGUCUGGGGCCGCCGGACAAAGGCGUCGGGAAUGUAGCUCCCUCGGGAGUGUUAUAGCCCGUCGCACAAUACGGCGCGCCCCGGGCGAGGUCCGCGCUUCGGCUUGGAUGCUGGCGUAAUGGUCGCAAGCGGCCCGUCUUGAAACACGGACCAAGGAGUCUAACAUCUAUGCGAGUGUUCGGGUGGCAAACCCCUACGCGCAAUGAAAGUGAACGGAGGCGGGAACUUUUGUGCACCGUCGACCGAUCCUGAUGUCCUCGGAUGGAUUUGAGUAAGAGCAUAGCUGUUGGGACCCGAAAGAUGGUGAACUAUGCCUGAAUAGGGUGAAGCCAGAGGAAACUCUGGUGGAGGCUCGCAGCGGUUCUGACGUGCAAAUCGAUCGUCAAAUUUGGGUAUAGGGGCGAAAGACUAAUCGAACCAUCUAGUAGCUGGUUCCUGCC